CUCUUGGUGAGAACAUGAUGGCGAGUUCCUCAUUCCAAUUGAGUUUAUAUUGUGUAGGUUUCUUCGUCAUGACCUAGAUUGCCGCAGUCAUGUUCAAGUCCAAUGAUAUCUUGCGCAAGCAGACCGCUCUCAAGAUACAACGGUCCGGCAAGCUGCUAUGGUGGUCAAGUGUGUGCUGCCUAGGAAAAUAGAUAUUUAGUUUUAGGUCAUUUCUUGUAAUUUCAGAUAUGGAGUGCUUGUCUUUAGUUUUUGUUUUCACUUUGUGAAACUUGCUACCUAUGGAUGAAACUGUGUAAUAUUGAUGAAACUGUGUAUAUGUAUGGAUGAAACUAUGUAUAUUGAUGCUACUAUUGGUGACAUGUGUUGGAUA